AAGUAUGAUUUUUUUAAAGUUGGUUUGAAUUAAGUCACUCGAUAAUAUUAGGAAUAUUUUGUGUUGAGUAUGGAUAAUAAAUUGUAAAAGCUAGAAUAGGUCCAAAAGUUAAUGACAACCUUUUUAAGUAGAUAAAAAGUAGAACUCUAUUUUAAUAGAUUAGACUAGAUUUGGAUCCGCACAACCGUGCGGGUAUUAAUUUUCAUGUUUAUAUAUAUUUUACAUAAUUAUAGUAUAUUUUUUAAGUUACUUAUAUAUUUACAUGUUUAUAUAUAAUUAUUUUAAAGAUAGCAAUUUGAUAGUUUUCAUGUUGUAAGUUAAUUGAUUAUUUCAAAUUGAGUUAAGAUAUCAAAUCCUAGUAAUAUAGUAUAUGGGAAGUCAACACAUAAACGGAUAAAAUCUGUAAAAUAAAAAAAUUUACUUUUCAAUUCUAACAGUUUAUAUAAAAACUAAAGAAUAUAGAUGGGAAGUUGGUAGAUGACAAAAUCAAAUUAUAAGGGAAGAAAUAUUAAAAAUAGCUAAUCUGUACUACUAAAAUCUAACAGUUUAAUAGUUUAAAUAUUUACGGUCCUGAAGAUUAGGUCUUGUAGAUUUGAUCAAAUCCUUUUUUUUGAGGUAAGAAAUAUUUCGAUGAAGCUGAUUUUAUGUAGAUCUUUAUUAGAUAUAAAUAUUUUGAAAUUUUGAAAAUACAAUAUAUAUCAAUUUACCAUUUUUAUUAAACUCACCGUAAUUUUCAUCUAAAUUUAUGACUUAAGCUAAUCUUAAAAAUGUGUAUGAAUAGAAACAAAAAUAUAAAGAAUUGUCUUAUUUACAAAGGUUUGUUUCAAAUGUAAUAGAUGAAACAGAUCAUAUUUGGCUUACAUGAUUGUGGAUAUUAGACAUUCAAGCUUCAUUGCUGACUAUGUUAUGUUCAUAAUGGCAGAAAACGUAAUGAAAGUUUAAGUAGAUGUAACAGAGGAACAAACGAUUUCGGUUUAGAUAAAGGCCUCACAUUCAAGCUUCAUUGGUGAUAGAUGAUGUGGAAAUAAAACGAUUCGGUUUUUUAUUCAAACCAAACGUAAUUCUAGAGAUUGUUAAAAUGUUUAGUAUGAUGAAAUAUGGACAAAUAUGUAUUGAUAUGAAUUGAUUUGAUUAUGGUAUGUUGCAUGUGCAAUUCGUAAACUGAAGAUGAGCAAUUAUGAGGUUUAUAUUGACCUGAUAUUACCUGUACGUAUUGAAGCGAUCGAACAGAGACAAAUAGACGCCUUGUGCUAGUAUUGUUUGUGUAAGGUCGGUUUACUAUUGGUACGAUUAAAAGUUAUAUUUGUUAGCUUUCAGUAGAUAACCAAAGUAUGAUUUUUUUAAAGUUGGUUUGAAUUAAGUCACUCGAUAAUAUUAGGAAUAUUUUGUGUUGAGUAUGGAUAAUAAAUUGUAAAAGCUAGAAUAGGUCCAAAAGUUAAUGACAACCUUUUUAAGUAGAUAAAAAGUAGAACUCUAUUUUAAUAGAUUAGACUAGAUUUGGAUCCGCACAACCGUGCGGGUAUUAAUUUUCAUGUUUAUAUAUAUUUUACAUAAUUAUAGUAUAUUUUUUAAGUUACUUAUAUAUUUACAUG
rnacentral:lncRNA from 1 species